UUGGUAGGUGAAAUUGUGUUACUUAUUGGAACACAAGCUUGGGGUAGCAUCUAGGACCGAUUCUCAUAGUCAAUUCCGUAAGGAUUGAAGGUGAUUAGGAGGUGAAGAGCUUUAUCUUAGUGGAUUCGAAGUGCGUGUGUUUGGCUUAGAGGUAGGCUACGGUCUCCCCCUUUGACUGAGUUUUAUUGCUCGUGCAGAGCUCAAUUGGCCAAUGCCGAC